GACAAACGCUGGCGGCGUGCUUAACACAUGCAAGUCGAACGGUACUCCUACGGGAGUAUAGUGGCGGACGGGUGAGUAACACGUAGCUAAUCUACCCUGAUGUGGGGAAUAACCCCUCGAAAGAGGAGCUAAGACCGCAUAAGUUCUCUCUUGUUAGAGAGAGAAGAAACUUUGGCAGUGAAAAGCCAGAGGCGUUAGGAUGAGGCUGCGGCGGAUUAGCUAGAUGGUGGGGAAAAGCCUACCAUGGCGACGAUCCGUAGCUGGUCUGAGAGGACGACCAGCCACACUGGGACUGAGACACGGCCCAGACUCCUACGGGAGGCAGCAGUGAGGAAUAUUCCACAAUGGGCGCAAGCCUGAUGGAGCGA
rnacentral:rRNA from 1 species